UACGAGGGGGGCGAGCGUUGUUCGGAAUUAUUGGGCGUAAAGGGUGCGUAGGCGGUUUGGUAAGUCUUAUGUGAAAUCUAUGGGCUCAACUCAUAGACUGCAUGAGAAACUGCCGGGCUUGAGUAUGGGAGAGGUGAGUGGAAUUCCGGGUGUAGUGGUGGAAUGCGUAGAGCGUCCGAGGAACACCAGUGGCGAAGGCGGCCGCCUG
rnacentral:rRNA from 1 species